rnacentral:rRNA from 1 species
UACAGAGGGGGCAAGCGUUGUUCGGAAUUACUGGGCGUAAAGGGCGCGUAGGCGGCCUUCUAAGUCGAACGUGAAAUCCCCGGGCUCAACCCGGGAACUGCGUCCGAUACUGGAAGGCUUGAAUCCGGGAGAGGGAUGCGGAAUUCCAGGUGUAGCGGUGAAAUGCGUAGAUAUCUGGAGGAACACCGGUGGCGAAGGCGGCAUCCUGGACCGGAACUGACGCUGAGGCGCGAAAGCGUGGGGAGCAAACAGG